rnacentral:rRNA from 1 species
AUUGAACGCUGGCGGAAUGCUUUACACAUGCAAGUCGAACGAUGAAACUUAGCUAGCUAAGGGGAUUAGUGGCGAAGGGGUGAGUAAUAUAUCGGCACGUACCUUGUAAUGGGGGAUAACUAGUCGAACGAUUAGAUAAUAUCGCAUACUCUCUGAGGGCAAAAGUAGGGGACCUUCGGUCCUUGCGUUAUAAGCGGGUCCGAUAUCUGAUUAGCUAGUUGGUGGGGUAAUGGUCAACCAAGGCGACGAUCAGUAGCUGGUCUGAGAGGACGACCAGCCACACUGGGACUGAGACACGGUCCAGACUCCUACGGGAGGCAGCAGUGGGGAAUUUUGGACAAUGGGCGCAAGCCUGAUCCAGCCAUUCCGCGUGAGUGAAGAAGGCCUUCGGGUUGUAAAGCUCUUUCGCAAGGGAAGAAAACGUACAGUCUAAUAAAGUGUGAGGCUGACGGUACCUUGAUAAGAAGCACCGGCUAACUACGUGCCAGCCGCCGCCGUAA